rnacentral:rRNA from 1 species
UCUUGGUCAUUUAGAGGAAGUAAAAGUCGUAACAAGGUUUCCGUAGGUGAACCUGCGGAAGGAUCAUUAUCGAAACGUAAGGUCUGGGAGGGAAGGGGGGAGCGUCGACGGCCCGAGACUGUCGCCCGCGUGUGCACGUCCAUCGCCGUUGCUCUCCUCGACCCUUUCGAGGCUUCGACCUUCUUGACACCUGUGUGCACUCGCUGUAGGUCCUUCGGGAUCUACGUCUCCUUUCGACUAGCAUGUCCAUAGAACGUAUUCGCCGUGUCCCGGCCUCGACCCUCAGGGUCCCGCGUCGGCGACCGCAAAACCUAUUACAACUUUCAGCAACGGAUCUCUUGGCUCUCGCAUCGAUGAAGGACGCAGCGAAUCGCGAUAAGUAAUGUGAAUUGCAGAUUUUCCGUGAAUCAUCGAAUCUUUGAACGCACCUUGCGCUCCCUGGUAUUCCGAGGAGCAUGCCUGUUUGAGUGUCAUCGAAACCUCGGAUCGACGCUUCGACCCCGUCGAAGCUCGGUUCGGACUGUGGGAGUCUGCCGGCGAAGCGUGACUUCGUCGGCUCUCCUCAAAAGCAUUAGCUGUGGGUGGCGAGCCUGGCAUGGCACGGCCUGUUCGACGUCGUAGUGAUCGUCGGGGGCUGGAAGUGUAUGGCUCGACGUGACCCAUGCUUCUCGAGUCUUGCGAGCCCGUCCCUCUGUGGGACGGCCGCGCCCCAUCGAAGCUUGACCUCAAAUCAGUAGGACUACCCGCCGAACUUAAGCAUAUCAAUAAGCGGCGCCA